CGAACUAAGAUGGCGACCGGCGCACGGGUGAGUAACACGUAUCCAACCUGCCGAUAACUCGGGGAUAGCCUUUCGAAAGAAAGAUUAAUAUCCGAUAGUAUAUUUUCUCCGCAUGGCGAGAAUAUUAAAGAAUUUCGGUUAUCGAUGGGGAUGCGUUCCAUUAGUUUGUUGGCGGGGUAACGGCCCACCAAGACUACGAUGGAUAGGGGUUCUGAGAGGAAGGUCCCCCACAUUGGAACUGAGACACGGUCCAA
rnacentral:rRNA from 1 species